CAUUAUACAGCGAAACUGCGAAUGGCUCAUUAUAUAAGUUAUCGUUUAUUUGAUAGUACCUUACUACUUGGAUAACCGUGGUAAUUCUAGAGCUAAUACAUGCUAAAAAUCCCGACUUCGGAAGGGAUGUAUUUAUUAGAUACAAAACCAAUGCCCCUCGGGGCUCUCUGGUGAUUCAUGAUAACUCGUCGAAUCGCACGGCCUUGCGCCGGCGAUGGUUCAUUCAAAUUUCUUCCCUAUCAACUUUCGAUGUUUGGGUAGUGGCCAAACAUGGUGGCAACGGGUAACGGAGGGUUAGGGCUCGACCCCGGAGAAGGAGCCUGAGAAACGGCUACUACAUCCAAGGAAGGCAGCAGGCGCGCAAAUUACCCAAUCCCGAUACGGGGAGGUAGUGACAAUAAAUACUGAUACAGGGCUCUUUUGGGUCUUGUAAUUGGAAUGAGUACAAUUUAAAUCCCUUAACGAGGAACAAUUGGAGGGCAAGUCUGGUGCCAGCAGCCGCGGUAAUUCCAGCUCCAAUAGCGUAUAUUAAAGUUGUUGUGGUUAAAAAGCUCGUAGUUGAAUCUUGGGCCUGGCUGGCCGGUCCGCCUCACCGCGUGUACUGGUCCGGCCGGGUCUUUCACUCUGCGGAACCACAUGCCCUUCAGUGGGUGUGGCGGGGAAGCAGGACGUUUACUUUGAAAAAAUUAGAGUGCUCUAAGCAGGCCAAUGCUCGGAUACAUUAGCAUGGAAUAAUAAAAUAGGACGCGCGGUUCUAUUUUGUUGGUUUCUAGGACCGCCGUAAUGAUGAAUAGGGACAGUCGGGGGCAUCAGUAUUCAGUUGUCAGAGGUGAAAUUCUUGGAUCUACUGAAGACUAACUACUGCGAAAGCAUUUGCCAAGGAUGUUUUCAUUAAUCAGGAACGAAAGUUAGGGGAUCGAAGACGAUCAGAUACCGUCGUAGUCUUAACCAUAAACUAUGCCGACUAGGGAUCGGACGAUGUUAUUUAGUUGACUCGUUCGGCACCUUACGAGAAAUCAAAGUGCUUGGGCUCCAGGGGGAG
rnacentral:rRNA from 1 species